AUUCCAGCUCCAAUAGCGUAUAUUUAAGUUGUUGCAGUUAAAAAGCUCGUAGUUGGAUUUCUGGGUUCUUCGCUAGCUUUGGUCCGCAAGGGCUUCAGUGGGCUGUUUGAAUCCAUCCUCAGGGGGACCCAUGCUGGUAUUCAUUUAUCGGUGUGGGAACGCCUGUCGUUUACUGUGAACAAAUUAGAGUGUUCAAAGCAAGGUGUACUUGAAUACAUUAGCAUGGAAUAAUAAGAUAGGACUCUGGUGGUUCUUUUUGAUAUUUUGUUGGUUUGCACGCCAAAGUAAUGAUUAAUAGGAGCAGUUGGGGGUAUUCGUAUUCAAUUGUCAGAGGUGAAAUUCUUGGAUUUAUAGAAGACGAACUACUGCGAAAGCAUUUACCAAGGAUGUUUUCAUUG
rnacentral:rRNA from 1 species